rnacentral:rRNA from 1 species
GACGUAGGGGGCGAGCGUUGUCCGGAUUUAUUGGGCGUAAAGAGCGCGUAGGCGGCCCGGCAAGUCGGAUGUGAAAACCCGGGGCUCAACCCCGGGCCUGCAGCCGAUACGGGCAGACUAGAGUUCGGCAGGGGAGACUGGAAUUCCUGGUGUAGCGGUGAAAUGCGCAGAUAUCAGGAGGAACACCGGUGGCGAAGGCGGGUCUCUGGGCCGAUACUGACGCUGAGGAGCGAAAGCGUGGGGAGCAAACGGG